rnacentral:rRNA from 1 species
GCCUAAUUACUUUAAUAAAUUUAUUUUAAAUGUUUUUUUUAUUUUAGUAAUAUAGGGAACAAUUUUUUUUUAGUAAUAAUUAUUUUAUUUUUGAAAUAUAUUAAAUAUUAAAUAUAUAAAAAUUAAAAAUUUACCUUUUGUAUCAGUGAAUUUAAAAUUUUAUAAACUAUUUUAUUUUCUCGAAAAGUAGAGAUUUAGGUGUUUAACAGUGUAAUAAUUUAAUAUCUUACUUAGUAACAGCACUUAGAGAAGAAAUUUCUUUCGGUUUACUUAUAUCUAGUUCCUUACUAAUUAAACAAAGUUUAAGUCCUAGAAGUUUUUCUUUUUUAUAAAAGGAUAAAUUUUUUGUACUAAAAGUUUAAAGGGAUAAUCUUUUAAAUUAUUAAUUUAAUAUUUUUGUUUUUGAUUAGAAUCUUUAAUGGACUUAGAGUUAGUCAUUUAGUAUGUUAAAAUUAAUGAUUUUAUUUAUUUUAUUUAAAUCAAAAUUUAUUUAUUAGUCAGGAUAAGUUUAAAUUAUAAAACUUAAUUUAUAAUUAAAUUAUUAGUAUAUAUAUAUUUUAUAUCUUUAAAUCAUAAGAAAAUUUAUUUUAUGAACUCGGCAAUUAUUAGGUUGAAUGUUUAACAAAAACAUUUCUAUAAAUUUAAAUUUAUAGUAUAGUCUGCCCACUGAAUUUUAAAGGGCCGCGGUACUCUGACCGUGCAAAGGUAGCAUAAUCAUUAGUCUUUUAAUUGAAGGAUUGUAUGAAUGGCUUAACAAUCUAGUACUUUAUUAAAUAAAUAGAUUGAAAUUAAAUUUUAAGUGAAAAUUCUUAUAUUUUACUAAAAGACGAUAAGACCCUAUAGAUCUUUAUUUUUAUUAGUAUAUAUGAAUAUGGAGGUUGUUGUAUAUAUUACUAAAAGUUUUAUUGGGGCAAUAAAAGAAUAAAGUAAAAUUCUUUCUAUAUAUUUAUUUUAUAUAAAUUUUAACCUUUUUUUUGAAUUAAAAAGUUACCUUAGGGAUAACAGCGUAAUAUAUUUGGAGAGUUCAAAUCGAUAAAUUAUCUUGCGACCUCGAUGUUGAAUUAAAAUUUCUUUAGGGGGCAGCAUUUCUAAGAAGAUAGUCUGUUCGACUAUGAAAUUUUUACAUGAUUUGAGUUCAAACCGGCGUAAGCCAGGUUGGUUUCUAUCUUUAGUUUAAUUUUAGAGACUCUAGUACGAAAGGAUUUAGUUUUUUUUAUAUU